UACGUAGGAGGCAAGCGUUGUCCGGAAUUACUGGGCGUAAAGCGCGUGUAGGUGGUGGGACAAGUCUGCUGUGAAAGCGCCUGGCUUAACCGGGCGAGGUCGGCGGAAACUGUCACACUUGAGGACGGUAGAGGGGGGGUGGAAUUCCCGGUGUAGUGGUGAAAUGCGUAGAGAUCGGGAGGAACACCUGUGGCGAAGGGCGGCCCCCUGGGCCGGCCCUGAC
rnacentral:rRNA from 1 species